AUGGUCAGCGUCACCGAAGGGCUCCGGGCGGCCGUGACCCUGCUGGAGUGCGGGGGGGACCUCCAGCCCCCCGGGGGGUCCCUGCGCCUCCUCUGCCGAGGGGCCGGGUUCAGUUUCGGCAGUUUUGGGAUGGGCUGGAUGCGCCAGAGACCCGGGCAGGGGCUGGAGUUCGUAGCACAGAUCAACACUGGUGGCACCACCCACUAUGGAGAUUCGGUCAAGGGCCGGUUCACGAUCUCCAGGGACAACGGGCAGAGCUCGGUGACGCUGACCAUGAACAGCCUCAAGGACGAGGAUUCCGGAUCCUAUUUCUGUGCCAAGGAUUCCUAUGCUGGCUGGAAUGCCGCCCAUGCCAUUGGUGUCACUCCCGGUGCGCCCCAAGGGCCGAGAUUUGGGGACGGCGGGUGA